GUAGCUCAGCGGUAGAAUGCAUGCCUUGCAAGCAUGAGGUCCUGGGUUCGAUUCCUCAGC
rnacentral:tRNA from 1 species